rnacentral:rRNA from 1 species
GACGAACGCUGGCGGCGUGCUUAACACAUGCAAGUCGAACGGAAAGGCCCUGCUUUUGUGGGGUGCUCGAGUGGCGAACGGGUGAGUAACACGUGAGUAACCUGCCCUUGACUUUGGGAUAACUUCAGGAAACUGGGGCUAAUACCGGAUAGGAGCUCCUGCUGCAUGGUGGGGGUUGGAAAGUUUCGGCUGUUGGGGAUGGACUCGCGGCUUAUCAGCUUGUUGGUGGGGUAGUGGCUUACCAAGGCUUUGAAGGGUAGCCGGCCUGGGAGGGUGACCGGCGACAUUGGGCCUGAGAUACGGACCAGACUCCUACGGGCGGCAGCAGUGGGGAAUAUUGCACAAUGGGCGGACGCCUGAUGCAGCAACGCCGCGUGCGGGAUGACGGCCUUCGGGUUGUAAACCGCUUUCGCCUGUGACGAAGCGUGAGUGACGGUAAUGGGUAAAGAAGCACCGGCUAACUACGUG